UACGGAGGGUGCAAGCGUUAUCCGGAUUCACUGGGUUUAAAGGGUGCGUAGGUGGGUUAUUAAGUCAGUGGUGAAAUCUCCGGGCUCAACUCGGAAACUGCCAUUGAUACUAAUAGUCUUGAAUAUCGUGGAGGUAAGCGGAAUAAUGUCAUGUAGCGGUGAAAUGCUUAGAUAUGACAUAGAACACCAAUUGCGAAGGCAGCUUACUACCCGAAUAUUGACACUGAGGCACGAAAGCGUGGGGAUCAAACAGG
rnacentral:rRNA from 1 species